GAUGAAGAACGUAGUAAAAUGCGAUAAUUAAUGUGAAUUGCAGAAUUCAGUGAAUCAUCGAGUCUUUGAACGCACAUUGCGCCCCCUGGUAUUCCGGGGGGCAUGCCUGUCCGAGCGUCAUUGCUGCCCUCAAGCACGGCUUGUGUGUUGGGCUUCCGUCCCUGGCAACGGGGACGGGCCCAAAAGGCAGUGGCGGCACCAUGUCUGGUCCUCGAGCGUAUGGGGCUUUGUCACCCGCUCCCGUAGGUCCAGCUGGCAGCUAGCCUCGCAACCAAUCUUUUUAACCAGGUUGACCUCGGAUCAGGUAGGGAUACCCGCUGAACUUAAGAAUAUCAAUAAGCGGAGGA
rnacentral:misc_RNA from 1 species